GGGACAUUUUGCCUUUUAUGUUAGACGGAACCUUUAAGCCAAACUGGAGCUGAUGUCUCUUGGGACACGCUUGAGGUUGAAGUCAAUGACAGUUUAGUUAACUACAACAGAGCAGGAAUUACAGCUAAAUUCCUCCCAGUACCACUGCUUUUCAUAUGCUAAGAUCAAUAGCUCAAAUUCAGACAUGAGAUGGUGCGAGUGACUAACUGAUGCCUCGAUUUUGCACAGCCUACACACUGAUGUCAUAAGAAAAAGCUAAUACCUCUGAGUGAAGCACCCCUGGAAGAUGUCCGAGUUUGUGAUCGGUUGCAGUUGCUGAGGU